GAUGAACGCUAGCGGCAGGCCUAAUACAUGCAAGUCGGACGGGAUUGAGGAGCUUGCUUCUCAUGAGAGUGGCGCACGGGUGCGUAACACGUAUGUAACCUACCUUGUUCAGGGGGAUAGCCUCUCGAAAGAGAGAUUAAGACCGCAUAACGUAGUGAUGUGGCAUCAUAUUACUACCAAAUAUUUAUAGGAACAAGAUGGGCAUGCGGAACAUUAGCUAGUUGGUAAGGUAACGGCUUACCAAGGCUACGAUGUUUAGGGGAUCUGAGAGGAUUACCCCCCACGCUGGUACUGAGACACGGACCAGACUCCUACGGGAGGCAGCAGUAAGGAAUAUUGGUCAAUGGACGGAAGUCUGAACCAGCCAUGCCGCGUGCAGGAAGACGGCCCUACGGGUUGUAAACUGCUUUUAUACGGGAAUAAACCUACUUACGUGUAAGUAGCUGAAUGUACUGUAAGAAUAAGGAUCGGCUAACUCCGUGCCAGCAGCCGCAGUAACAC
rnacentral:rRNA from 1 species